rnacentral:rRNA from 1 species
UUGCCUACGGGACGCAGCAGUGGGGAAUAUUGCACAAUGGGGGGAACCCUGAUGCAGCGAUGCCGCGUGGAGGAAGAAGGUUUUCGGAUUGUAAACUCCUUUUAUCAGGGACGAUAAUGACGGUACCUGAAGAAAAAGCUCCGGCUAACUACGUGCCAGCAGCCGCGGUAAUACGGAGGAUGCGAGCGUUAUCCGGAUUUAUUGGGUUUAAAGGGUGCGUAGGCGGGCUUUUAAGUCAGCGGUAAAAAUUCGGGGCUCAACCCCGUCCGGCCGUUGAAACUGGGGGCCUUGAGUGGGCGAGAGGA